AUACGGAGGAUCCGAGUGUUAUCCGGAUUUAUUGGGUUUAAAGGGUGCGUAGGUGGACUGUUUAGUCAGUGGUGAAAUACUGAUGCUCAACGUUAGCAUUGCCGUUGAAACUGACAGUCUUGAGAGUGAUUGAGGCAGGCGGAAUGCGUGGUGUAGCGGUGAAAUGCAUAGAUAUCACGCAGAACUCCAAUUGCGAAGGCAGCUUGCCAAGCCACAACUGACACUGAAGCACGAAAGCGUGGGGAUC
rnacentral:rRNA from 1 species